UUAACAGACUAUGACAUUCGAUUUUACAUGUAUGAAAUUCUAAAAGCCCUGGAUUAUUGUCACAGCAUGGGGAUUAUGCACAGAGAUGUGAAACCCCAUAAUGUCAUGAUU